rnacentral:rRNA from 1 species
AAUCAACGCUGGCGGCGUGCCUCAGACAUGCAAGUCGAACGAUUAAAGCUCUCUUCGGAGAGUGCAUAAAGUGGCGCACGGGUGAGUAACACGUAAGUAAUCUACCCUCGAGUGGGGAAUAACGUCCGGAAACGGACGCUAAUACCGCAUAAUGCAGCGGCACCGCAAGGUGACAGUUGUUAAAGAUUUAUCGCUUGAGGAGGAGCUUGCGGCAGAUUAGCUAGUUGGUAAGGUAAUGGCUUACCAAGGCUACGAUCUGUAACCGGUCUAAGAGGACGGUCGGUCACACUGACACUGAAUAACGGGUCAGACUCCUACGGGAGGCAGCAGUCGGGAAUUUUGGGCAAUGGGGGAAACCCUGACCCAGCAACGCCGCGUGAAGGAUGAAGUAUUUCGGUAUGUAAACUUCGAAAGAAUAGGGAGAAUAAAUGACGGUACUAUUUAUAAGGUCCGGCUAACUACGUGCCAGCAGCCGCGGUAAUACGUAGGGACCAAGCGUUGUUCGGAUUUACUGGGCGUAAAGGGCGCGUAGGCGGCUUGUCAAGUCACUUGUGAAAUCUCCGGGCUUAACCCGGAACGGCCAAGUGAUACUG